GGGAAUGAGACUCUUGAGCCCUGACC
rnacentral:piRNA from 1 species